rnacentral:rRNA from 1 species
UACGUAGGGUGCGAGCGUUGUCCGGAAUUAUUGGGCGUAAAGAGCUCGUAGGCGGCCUGUCGCGUCGGAUGUGAAAGCCCGGGGCUUAACCCCGGGCCUGCAGCCGAUACGGGCAAGCUAGAAUUCGGUAGGGGAGACUGGAAUUCCUGGUGUAGCGGUGAAAUGCGCAGAUAUCAGGAGGAACACCGGUGGCGAAGGCGGGUCUCUGGGCCGAAAUUGACGCUGAGGAGCGAACGCGUGGGGAGCAAACAGG